GCCAGGGUGGCAUGGAGGUUUGAGUGUUGGCCUACCACUCUGGAGACCAGCGUUCGAAUCCCAGCUCAGCCA